rnacentral:rRNA from 1 species
GCUGAACGCUGGCGGCGUGCUUAAUACAUACAAGUCGAACGGAUUGAAGAUGUGCUUGCACAUCUGAUGUUAGUGGCGAACGGGUGAGUAAUACAUAGGCACCUUGCUCCAAGGACUGGGAUCACACUUAGACAUGAGUGCUAAUACCGGAUAGGUAAUACAAAGGCAUCUUAGUAUUAUUAAAGCUGGGUAUCCAACACCAUGGGAUGGACUUAUGCUGUAUUAGCUAGUGGGUGAGAUAAAAGCCCACCAAGGCGAUGAUACAUAGCUGGUAUGAGAGGAUGAACAGCCACAUUGGGACUGAGACACGGCACAGACUCCUACGGGAGGCAGCAGUAAGGAAUUUUCGGCAAUGGAGGAAACUCUGACCGAGCAACGCCGCGUGAGUGAUGAAGGCCUUCGGGUUGUAAAGCUCUGUUGUAAAGGAAGAAUGUAUAGAAAAGGAAAUGUUUCUACAGUGACGGUACUUUACCAGAAAGCCACGGCUAACUACGUGCCAGCCGCCGCAGUAA